AUCAACCUUGGGAGCUAGAUAUUAAUGUCUAUCCUUUUUGUUGUUGUUGUUUACAGAAAGGAAAACUGAGUCUCAAAAACUAUCUUGUACAGAUUCUCAGACCUACCAUGGGAUGGAACUUACUUAUGAGCCCCAGACUCCAAAAACAUCACAUCCUACCAGAUUCAUGGCUGAAGCGUCUGAAACAAGACUAACAAGACUAACGAGAUUAACAAGAGAAAAACAUACAAAUUUUUAAAAUAUAAGUUGUAUGUGACAUAGAAGCAUUUAUAAAGAAAAGAAGACCAGAAGAAACGGGUAGACCUGGGUAUUUUUAUGCUACUUUUGAUGAAAAUGGGAAUGCUUUUGGAGACGCA
rnacentral:lncRNA from 1 species